rnacentral:misc_RNA from 1 species
AUUUCGUUGAGAAGCCCCGAGAAACUUGGGCGGAAAGUUCAAAAGUUAGGUGAUGUUUUAUUAGACAAUGGAUCCCUACCUGCCUGCAUCACCACUGGUGGAAACCUUUGAUGAAUUUGAUGAACCUGUCCCAAUGCAUCACAGCUACUGUCAACAGCUUUCCAUGGAUGAAAUAGAGGAACAGUCAGAAACAGCAACACAAAGAGGCCUUAAUGACUUGAUUAAAUACUUGGAACAAAAUCCAGAGGCAUAUGCUAAGAUAAUGCGUAAAAAAAAAGUUGAAGAUUUGGAAAAUGGUGGAAUCUUUUCUUACUUGAAGGUGAAAAUGAUGAGUGUUCUUCAUGGGGACCAGUACCCAGCAUGCCUUGUAACACCUGAAGAAACAUGCAACCAAUUAAAUGAAGUCAAAAGUGGAAUGAUAAGAGCCUUCCAAUAUUCCCAAGAUUCCAAAGGAAGACGGUUUUCUUCUCGGCUUGCCAAAAAGAGAAAAGUCGACGAAAUCCAGACCUGUGAUGAAAAGCAAUCUUCUCGUAGACGCUGUGACAAGUCUAACACUCGAUACGUCCGUUGUCGAGCUGUGUCCUCUCAACAUGCUUCGCCGACUUUGAUUCCUGUCGCAAAAAUAGCACCCAGUGACUCGACGUUGGCUGUCCCAACACCUCCACCACCUCCACCACCUCUUGUUCAGACACCAAGGACAAGGUUACAGCUACAGAGACCACCACUUCACAAAGAAAAUGUUUCUCCUACUGAAAGUAUUUCAGACCAUGAGUUUGUGACACCACCAGAAAGAACCAAGAAGCACCAGAGAACUGUAUCUAAUGGAUCGAUUACUUCCAUGACAUCAAUUACAUCACUCUCGAGCAUCCACUCUGAACUAAUGUCAUCAAACCCACUCAAGAAACUCAAAUGUACAGAUAUUACCAGAUCCCCUGGAGGGACUCCUCUUCGACCGAGAGCAAGCGGCUUCGCUCCGUCCGAGCCUCUCCACAAAGCCCUGAUCAAUGUGAUGAAGAAGAAGUUCCGAAACGUCCGCACUCCUAGUCCACGAUCUGCCAAUCACAGUCGGAACUCGAGUCACAAUAAUUCUUCAAGCUUCAGUCCCGGUUUCUGUCUCUCACCAUAAGGAUGGUGGCAUGCCAUUUGUCAAUGUGAAUUCUCUUUUGCAUUUGCAUAUUAAUCAUUUGCCCGUUUUGUACGUUUUUGUGUUUCUCUUAUUAUUGCUGCUUUUUUUUUUAUCCCACUGUCCCAUUUCUUUUCUUUCCUCUGGAUUCUAUCUUAUUUCUUGCCCAUCUGGAAGCUCCUCCUAUCUUUCAACUUCUUAUCAGUGUCCACCUCCACAGAGGCGGAUCUAGGGAGCCCCCAGGGUCCUGCCCCCCCCCCCCCCCUAAAUUUUGCAAUAGUUAUAAAUUUAUUAUAUAUUAAUUUUCAUUUUUUUUACGAUCCCCCUUCAAAUCUUCCCCAAAGUUCCCAUGACAUUCAACCUCAUGUCACUGGGCCCCUUCCCCAAAUGGAUUUUCUGGAUCCGCCACUGUUCCACAUCUUGGUCCUUGUCUCUCCAACCGUGACAGGUGAUUUUCUCUUGUGACCAUUCAUGGCACACACCUGCCAUUUCCCAUCAGCUUUAGCUGUAGACUUAGUCUGAUCACUUCGGAGAGUUCUCGGUUGUGACUUCUGGCAUUGUUAAGAGGCACUUGUAACCACCUACUAUACUCCCCUACUACCAGCAACUUUAUUAGCGGUAGAGGACGAGGUUGCCAGGUGGGGGGGGGGGGGGGGCAGGGAAGUACACAGAGUUUCAUUACUGAACAUAACGCUUUGCCAUUAGGUUAAAUGUGUCCUUUUAGUUUAUCUGGAGAAUAUCCUCUAUUACUGGAUCCUGAAUCUUUUUGAACUACAGUCCCACUUUUAGUCCCAUACCGGUCCAACUGGAGGGGACUAUAUCAGUGGUUGACAAAUGUUUGAGAAAGUCACUAUAGGCUUUGUAUCUGUCCAUCUGUCUGCAAAUAAAGAUGCUGGACUGUUUUCUUCUCUCUUUUUUUUCCAAUAUGUUUUCAUGCAAUUAGUACAACAGAUUUAGACAUUUAUCACCAGUAAAAAACAUGUUAUGUUGUCACCAAGCAGAAAUAUUGCUUGUCAAAAUAUUGCUUAUUGAUAACAUGGUAAGACAUGUGUGGAAAAGGUACUGUGUAUUUGCACUAAUCAAUAAACUUUUGUGCAGUUGCCUUAACGGAAAGACAAUCUUAGGAUGACCCAACCUCAGAAUUUGACACUACAUUUUGACCUUAUUAUUAAAGAUGGUAAAGAACUCAUUGUGUUAUGACAUUUAUACAGUUUAAAAUUAUAUAAAAUGUGGAUUUAAACAUAUUCUUUAUAUUUUUGAUUUUUUUUAUCUACACAUGUUUUUUUGCGUUCUAAUCAUAUUAAUUUUUUUGUGAACUACAAUAAAAACUGUAUUACUAAAUCAUCAUGUGAACAGUAUAUUGUAUGGUUUGUUAUGAAUAAAAAUGAUUUUAUGUCCUUUGUAUAAGUUACAUAAAUUUACUAUUGUAGUUCAUUCAUUUGUGGAUAAUAUGUAUGUUUUGUAUUAUUUCAUACAUAUUGCUAACUAUAUGGAAUGUGGAUGGAAUAGCAACCGUUAUGUUCUUUUGUUUAUAUGUAUUUGUGUUUCUUUACUUUCUCUUUUUCACAUUAAUCUCAUUUAUUACUCCUGUAAUAAAAAAAAUAUUAUCCACAA